rnacentral:rRNA from 1 species
GAUUUUCUGGAGACAAACAACUGCGAAAGCAUUUGCCUAAAAUACUUCCAUUAAUCAAGAACGAAAGUUAAGGGAGUGAAGACGCUCAGAUACCGUCGUAAUCUUAACCAUAAACUAUGCCGACUAGGCUUUGGAUGAAAGAUUUAAAAAUAAGAAAUUCUCCUUUUUGGGGAGAAUUUCUUAGAUAGCUUCCUUCAGUGCCUUAUGAGAAAUCAAAGUCUUUGGGUUCUGGGGCGAGUAUUCGCGCAAGCGAGAAAGUUAAAAGAAUUGACGGAAGGGCACCACCAGGCGUGGAGCUUGCGGCUUAAUUUGACUCAACACGGGAAAACUCACUAGUUUAAGACAAGAGUAGGAUUGACAGAUUAAUAGCUCUUUCUUGAUUUCUUGGAUGGUGAUGCAUGGCCGUUUUUAGUUCGUGAAUAUGAUUUGUCUGGUUAAUUCCGAUAACGAACGAGAUCUUAACCUGCUAAUUAGCGGCAAGUACGACAUAUUUUUGGGAGGAAUUGAAUUUAGUUAGUUUGUACAUUUUGAAGAAAAUAUUAGGAUACGUAAUAGUAUCCUUUUCCCUUUUCUACUUAAUUUACUUACUAUACUAAUCCUUUUUCGAUCAAAAAUGUAUUUGCUUGAUUGUAAAGCUUCUUAGAGGAACGAUGUGUGUCUAACACAAGGAAGUUUAAGGCAACAACAGG